rnacentral:rRNA from 1 species
UCACGAAAUGGUUGGAGUUAAUUAUAUAUAGUGGUUUUAGACUAUACACAGUAUGUGACAUAAUACUGGAAAAAGAUAUAAUUAGGUGUGAUAGGCUUUUCAAAGACCAGGAUAUCUUGAUAGCGCUUAAACGUAUGUAGUACGUAAGACAAAUAGAAAGUGUUGAGGCUCUCUAUAAUUUCAAAAUCGAUCUCAUGGCCUUAUUGGUUUAAUCAUCUUUUCUUUAAAAUAAAUAAUAUUAAGUUUCUUCCAUUUGAUUUAACUACGUGCUUCUAUAUUGUAAUUAAGGUGUAUAGUAAUAAUGUUUCCAUAAGUAUUAAUUAAGGCGUUUAUAAUGAACUCGGCAAUAAAUAUUCUCAACUGUUUAUCAAAAACAUAGCUGUAUGUAAUUAUAUAUAGUUAUUUCUGCUCAAUGUAAUAUAAAUGGCCGCAGUACUCUGACUGUGCAAAGGUAGCAUAAUCAAUUGGCUUAUAAUUGAAGUCUAGUAUGAAAGAAAAUAUGGGGAUUGACUAUAUAAGGAACGUUUUUUAAAAUUACUUAAUAAGUGAAAAGACUUAUAUUUAAAUAAUAGACGAGAAGACCCUAGAAAUUUUAAGCAACCUAUAAGACGCACGGUUUUUGUUGGGGCGACACAGUAGCAUAAUUAACCUACUAAGAUUAAUAUGAUUAUUAUAUUACGGAUAAUUAAAUUACUCUAGGGAUAACAGCAUAAUAUUAAAAAGUUUGUGACCUCGAUGUUGGACUAGGAUACUACCACCCAGAAGGUUACUAGUAAGGCUCUGUUCGAGCAAUUUACUCCUACAUGAUCUGAGUUCAGACCGGCGUAAGCCAGGUCAGUUUCU